rnacentral:lncRNA from 1 species
GUGUCUUUGAUGUGCUAAAGAAGUUUUAAAAAUUCUGUUCUUUCAUCGAAUUUAGAAAUACGACUUACAUGUAAGUUCAUAAUUCUUUAUCCGUGAGCAAAUCAAAAUAUUAAAUUCUUCUUUAAUCUUUGCAAUUUUAUCCUAAAUAAAAAAAACAUCCAUAACAAAAAAAUACAAACUCACACAUACACCUUCACUGUAUUUUUUUCUUUACUGUAUUUUUUUUUCUUUUCUCUUUCUUUUCUUUUUUUGCUUCCAUGUUUACAAAAUGCAAAUUCCAAAAAAACUUAAAACUAAACAAAUAUUACAUUAAACAAAAAUUACAUUAAACAAUUCUAAAAUUACAAAACAGCCCCUAAAACAUCCAAAGGCUUCUGGAAUAUGCAGGAACAGUGCACGGGAACAGUGGCGGCGCGUCUUCUCCACGCUCAUGUCUAUUCAAAUCUAAUUGUUGAAAUGAAAUCAGAGAGAUGUCAAUUUUGAAAAGUAUUUUUGGAAAUCAAGCUUGUUUGGUCAAAGAUCCAACACACGUUAUUCAAUGUAGUCCUUUGAUUGCCUUGUAUUUUGAACACAGAAAUGACCCGUUGUAAGAUUAAAAUGACUUUUUCAUGGUUUUUUGUGUCAGUUUUAAUCUUUGAUCUUGGGUAUAUCUUUUGAUGGUCUGUGAUGAGGUGACCUUCUGUGAAUUUCAAGGAAAACAAAAGGCUCAAGUCAAAACUUGAGGAUUCAUCAAGAAAGAUUGUUUUCUUUUUUUAGCACCAAUUUUAUCAGCAUGCAUAAUAACCAGUAGCUUAAUUCAUGAAGCCACGACUCUUAUGGAAAAAAAAAAACUCUUCAAGUUUUGAGAUCGCCAUUUAUCGGUUCAGAUUGCUUACUUGAUCAAAAAGGGCUUUUAAAAGCACGUAAUGCAGGCUAUGGAUCAUGGCUAUGAAAGAAAGGAAUUUCAAAAGCUCAAAAGGUGUUUGAGGGUUUCAAAGCCCUAGGAUCAAUAUCAACUAUUCAUCAACUUUUUUCUUAUUGUCAUUGUAGAGAAAGUGACAUAUAACCUUGUUAAUAUCAAAUUCAGAAUUCUCUUAACAUAGGUCAUAAUGCUAAUCCAACUUUUUCUCUAAUAAAUAAUGAAUCUAAAAUUUUUUGAAGACACUAAAGGCUUUAUCCUAGACACACCAAAAGACAUGAAACUUGAUUUUUUUGGUGUUGACUUUUGGCAUUUGUUGUGUGUUUCUUCCAUUGAAACCUCUUUUGCCCCUCUUAGAAUUGAUAGGCAUUCUCCUUCAUUUCCACUUUUUUUGCUUUUACAUAACCUUCCUCAAAAUUUUCUUGGAUGGCCCUCAAUCUAUGGCUUUUCUUGUUCUCCCUUUCUCAAUCAUUGGGCUUUUAUUCUAAGCCUUUCUUUUAUCAUUGAUUCUAUCAGUGUCUUUAUCCUUCCUAAUAAUAUAUCUCUCAUUGCCCCCAGUGUGGAGUGUGAUCCUAGUCAAGGUUUCUUUUUGAAAGAAAAUAUUUUACCAGGCUCAAAAUGGGACUGCAAGGGAUAUAAUCUUUAGAAAGUGAAGGGAUAUCAAAGAUGGCCUUUUCUCAUUUCAAGCAAGGUCGGUUAGAACCGAUAAAUUUUGACCUCGUCCAGUGUAAUGAUUUGGACUUGUAAGAAUCCUGAUUCACGAGUCCAUAACUAUUGAAUCCACUACAUGUCAUUAUGCAUACUGCUAAAACUAGCUAUAUGAUGUGUGGUUCAGUUUCAAAAGGUAUGAGUUCAAAAUUGUUUGGUCACCUCAUGUCAUUUUCAAGCAUCAAGUCAUUUCCGCAAUCAAAACACUUUUAAUCUUCAGGAUUGACUAGCUUUAAUUUUGUAUGUUGGAGUUUGAUCAAAAAAAUAUUUUUGUCAAAAUACCCUUUGAAAGAAGCAUCUCUUGAUUUCAAAACAACAAAAAGACAAAGAAAAGACAUGUUUCGUCCAAGGAUGAGAUGUGACCCCAAAACAAAAUGCGGAAUGACAACUCCACAAUAAAAUGAUGGACAAUUCAGCACCAUUCUUGGAUCAGCUUUUCUGGCCAUAUUUGUGUUUUGCCGAGCAACUUCGAUCACUUGUUAUUCUGAUGAUGUUCUGGUGACAAAAUGAUUGAUGACAUCAUCUCUCACAAACUCAGCUCGAUUCUUGAAACUUGUGUCUGUUCAACUGAAAUGGUCCAGGAACCCUCCAUGAUAUUCACAUCUGGUUUGAAUUAUACCACGGUGGUUGCAUGCAAAUUUAUCGAAGUGGGUGCAACAAAUCUGGAAUCUAACAGAUGCUGGUCGACAAACUUGAGUGGCAGAUGAAUGUCAAUCUUGGCAAAGACAUUUGAGCAGUUGAUGUUAUGGCAAGGCAAAAUGACUGAGUUUUCUCAAUUGAGAGUCAUCUUCUGAUUCAACUCUCAUCACUGUUAUGGAAUCCAUGGUAGAUCCUUCAAUCUUUCCUCUCUUGAUAGCUAGCUCAAUUCUUUUGGCAAUCCACACAACUUCAUGUCAAUAUUUCAAUGUUGUUGUGGUUGGUUGAGGGUUGUCGGAAACCUUUUAAUAGCUUGGUAAUCUUGGUAGUGCCCAGAAACAUGUGGCAUCGCCAUUACCGACGUGUGGAAUCACACAUUGUCAAAACUGGAAGAGAACCUGAUGAAUCUAAAACUCCUUUGUCUCCUCUUUGAUUCCUCACUGACGGUGCAGCAAACAGACACCUGUAGAGGGAGCUCUGCUCUGUUGAAGUUUCAAUCUUCUUUCUAUUUUUCAGCCGAGGCCUGUCUCUUUUCCCUACUUUUGCAUUUUCAAGCUAACACCGAUGAGAGAAAAUUAUAGAUGAUCAGAAGCUACUGCAUCCCUUCUUGGAUUCUCCACUUGCAGAGCCACAAACAGAUUUCUGCGGAGAGAGCUCUGCCAUGGUGAAGUUCUAUAUCUGCUCCUGUUUUCUAGCUCAGGUCUGGCUUUUCUGCCUACUACAGUGUUUCGGUGCUGAAAUUGAUGAGACAAAUUUUUGUAGCGUGUGAAAGUACUGCGUCCCCUCUUGCAUGCCCCACUGGCAGAUCCAUAAACGGAUUUUUGUAGAGAGAGCUCUGCCACAUUGAAGUUUGAUGACUGCUAAUAUUUUCAGACCAGGUCUGACUCUUCUGCCUACUACAAUGUUUUGCUGGUGCCACUGGUGGGAGAAAGUUUCAAAGCAUAUGAAACUACUACAUACCCUCUUGCAUUCCCCACUGGCAGAUCCACAAACAAAUCUCUACAGAGAGAGCUCUGCCACAUAGAAGUUCAGUGUAUAAUCAUGGUUUUUUACAUUUUGUGCUACUGAACUGGAAUUAAGCUCACAGUAAGGGUAACCUCAAAGAAGGCUAAUGCACCAUGCACAGAAGGCUAGCAAUUAUUUGGUGUCAUUGAAAGAUGUGGAGGCGUUGAAUAAUUAACAGGGCGGCUAACCAAGAACAAUUGUCAUUAGUUGCUGACUGAAGGCAUUGUUGUCGUUGUUCAUGACUGAAAAGGAUAGGUGCAGCUUCAAUGGGACGUGGACGAGCAGUGUUCCCACAGAAGAUUGUGCAGACAUUCCCUUUCCAUUUGAUGCUUAACACUUGUUCAGGCAGAUCUGAGCCUAGCUACUUCUCCUUUGAUGCUCUCAACUUUCUUUGUGAUAAUGAGCCUCUAUCUGACAUCUUUCUUCAUUUCCAUCAUCUUUUUCAAUCACGUGUAGCAAACCUCGAACAGGGGAACCUAUUUUUCCUCAUGGUACAUGCAUGAUAAAUGUAUGAACAUGUAAACUAUAUGAUGAACUCGCCCUUCGAGGGGUGACAUAUGGUCGUAACUCUUGUAUGAUGAAACAAGAAUCUUGAUUCUUGCCCAAACUCUACAAUGAAAAUUUUCUGAGUGACGGCUAUUGGGUCACCCACAAGUCUUGAGUUCAAGAUGCUUCAAGAAGGGUUUGCCCUGAUGCAAAACAAUGUAUACGGAGCAUGCAUCCUAAAGGCAGGUUCUAAUCUUUUUAAGUGAGACAAAAGGUAGGUUUACUACUUGGUCUCUAAAAAGGGUCUCUUGUUGUCCUAGUGAUUGCCCUCGUGGAGGCAAUAUGGGGGCUUGUAGGUAAUGAGAUGGCACAUGUCCAACUAUUACCAGUCUAAGCACUCAACGAAGAGUUGGGGUUUACACAAACUUAAACCUUGACUAAAAGUCAUAAGGUAAGCUGCUAGUCCCCCUCCUAACCUGAAGCCGUGUGUGCUUUAAAAAAUUAAAACAUGUGAUGCAUGAGACAAUUCUAUACAAUGCAUGAAUAAAAUAAAAAUAAAACAAGAAAAAAAAUGCAAAAACAUAAACACAUCAAAUACACAAAGCUUAGUCCAAUAAUGUUGAAAACAAUACCUUCCCCAGCGGAGUCGCCAUUCUGUCGCACGUCAGAAAAACCCCGCGCGGCGUCGGCUGGCGAUUUUAUCUUUGUUGCGUUUUGCUAGAAUUGGUUCGUUGGAGUCGCCACCUAGUAAUUUAUUAAAGGCUACUAGGAAACCCGGGUACUGGUCUUAUCAGAGAUUCAAGGGUAAGGGACAGAUUGUGGUUAUGGAAGGUAUUAGCACCCCUAACGCACCCUACCUGAGGUAAGCUGCUUCGUGUCUUUGAUGUGCUAAAGAAGUUUUAAAAAUUCUGUUCUUUCAUCGAAUUUAGAAAUACGACUUACAUGUAAGUUCAUAAUUCUUUAUCCGUGAGCAAAUCAAAAUAUUAAAUUCUUCUUUAAUCUUUGCAAUUUUAUCCUAAAUAAAAAAAACAUCCAUAACAAAAAAAUACAAACUCACACAUACACCUUCACUGUAUUUUUUUCUUUACUGUAAUUUUUUUUCUUUUCUCUUUCUUUUCUUUUUUUGCUUCCAUGUUUACAAAAUGCAAAUUCCAAAAAAACUUAAAACUAAACAAAUAUUACAUUAAACAAAAAUUACAUUAAACAAUUCUAAAAUUACAAAACAGCCCCUAAAACAUCCAAAGGCUUCUGGAAUAUGCAGGAACAGUGCACGGGAACAGUGGCGGCGCGUCUUCUCCACGCUCCACCGUCACUG